GGAUGUGAGGGUGAUUUGGCUGUGACAUCUGUCACCCCAUUGAUUGCCAGGGUUGAUUCAGCUGAUCUGACUGGUUAGGCGUGUGUCCCCUUCCUCCCUCACUGCUACAUGUGCGUCCCUCCCAAAGUUGCACCCCGGGUGGAAGAGAACGACCAUUCCCGCUAGAGGAGAACCAUUCUUUGGUCAAGGGUAUACGAGUAGCUGCGCUCCCCUGCUAGAACCUCCAAACAAGCUCUCAAAAUCCAUUUUAUGUGGUCUUUACAAAAGGUUAUGUACAGCAGAGGGAGACCUCUUCAGAGUAGAAAUUUUCUGUAAGGCAGUCUCUAAAAUUGCCCUAGA
rnacentral:snRNA from 1 species